rnacentral:snRNA from 1 species
GUGCUCGCUUCGGCGGCACCUAUACUAAAAUUGGAACGAUACAGAGAAGAUUAGCAUGGCCCCUGAGCAAGGAUGACGCAUUCCGUUUUUUU